UCAUCAAAAAAUAUUAAAGCCAGCUCUACCACUUGCAGCCUCUCAGCACUGCUCCUUAAAAAUAAACAAAAGCCACCAUUGCUGUUCAAUACAAGACAUCCUCUCACAGGUCAGCUGGGGCCAAUGCAUGCUAUCUUCCCACCCCUCCUGAUGCAUACCUGCUGAGCAAAAGCCUGCGCAAGAAGGAGUUAAACGAUGAGGGAGAAAAGAGGUCUGGUGCCCCAUCUGAAUCCCAGGAAAGCCUGCAACUGGGAAAAAUAAUAUCUGUUGUUGUGGAAUGUAAUUUCUGUAGAAAAACCAACUCUAUCCAGAACCCUGCCUUCCAAAGACAAGGUACAGGGGGUAAAUCUUAUGCGAGGGUUAGGUACUGAAGCCAGUGCAUAAGGCAAAAAUCGCCUAUAGUCAAAUGCUCAUUGAGUGUAAUGGCGGGUGGAAUCAUCCACACUACAGAUGAAAGCAUAGCCUUCAGCUCAUCCUCCACACCAGCAGAUGGCUGUCCUAGAUUAGAAGGUGAAAGAGAACAGGUGAUGACAUGUUUAAAUUAGAUCAUGAAUGCCUCUGAGACAGCUGACACCAAGCAGAGAGCAUGGAGGAGUUCUCCCUCUGAAAAACUGGAUAUGGAUUUUGCGAGCAGGAGAGAAGCCCAGAUGCAUGAGCAUGGCAUGCAGCAGCAGAUGCUGGGGAUUCUGAAGGAACAGACAGACAUGUUGGGGCAUCUAGUAGAACUUCUGGAGAAACAUCAUGAGGGUAGACUCCCUCCGCAGCCCCUGCAGAAAGGCAUUCCUGCAUAGACAUAUUCCCUUUCCCCCUCUCCCAAACUUUCCAGGAGGCAAGGGGGUGGGGGCGGUGUGAGAGAAAAGCUCUCUCUCUUCUACUCCAUACCAGAGAAGGGUACUAGCAAAAAAAAGGCUACUGUAUCUAAAAGACUAGAUCAAUGUGUUUUUCUCCUUCAAAUUUUAUUCUAAUGACUGUCCAAGGUUACAUUCUUUUUUUGAUCUUUCACUUCCAAUAUGUUUGUGCAAUAAAAGUCCAGGUCCUGAGAAUGAAAUAAUCGUUAUUAGUUCACACCAUGAG